CAGUCGCCGCGGGAAUACGUAGGUGGCAAGCGUUGUCCGGAAUUAUUGGGCGUAAAGGGCUCGCAGGCGGUUUCUUAAGUCUGAUGUGAAAGCCCCCGGCUCAACCGGGGAGGGUCAUUGGAAACUGGGAAACUUGAGUGCAGAAGAGGAGAGUGGAAUUCCACGUGUAGCGGUGAAAUGCGUAGAGAUGUUGAGGAACACCAGUGGCGAAGGCGACUCUCUGGUCUGUAACUGACGCUGAGGAGCGAAAGCGUGGGGAGCGAACAGGAUUAGAUACCCCAGUAGUCCCUGUCUCUUAUAC
rnacentral:rRNA from 1 species